AGUUAGACGCUUCCGCGCGAAGAGCAAGCGAGCGUCCUGCAAGGGUUUCACCCCGCCGCGCCAGGAGCACCCUGUCCGGGAGCACCUGGCCCAUUAUUGCCCUAUCACCGCAGCCCCGUGCGAUGAACUGGAAAGGUCGUCACUUGACGACGCUUACCUCACCGAUCUGCACUCCGGCCGACUGAACAACCUCUUGCGGAAUCGCAGCGAUGAAAAACAUCGUGAAAACAUACAUCGCGAAUAUCGUCGCAACGAAUGUGGCCUUUGGAAUCAUCCCGACUCUCCUCUUUACAAGGAGGAGUCUGGACUAAAAUGAGC
rnacentral:sRNA from 1 species